CCAGACUCCUACGGGAGGCAGCAGUGAGGAAUAUUGGUCAAUGGGCGGGAGCCUGAACCAGCCAAGCCGCGUGAAGGAAGAAGGCGCCAGGCGUCGUAAACUUCUUUUGUCGGGGAACAAAGGGCGCCACGCGUGGCGUUGUGAGUGUACCCGAAGAAAAAGCAUCGGCUAACUCCGUGCCAGCAGCCGCGGUAAUACGGAGGAUGCGAGCGUUAUCCGGAUUUAUUGGGUUUAAAGGGUGCGUAGGCGGCGCGAAAAGUCGGCGGUAAAGGCCCGGGGCACACCCCCGGCGAGCCGUUGAAACUGUCGGACUAGAGACGGCGAGAAGUACGCGGAAUGCGCGGUGUAGCGGUGAAAUGCAUAGAUAUCGCGCAGAACUCCGAUUGCGAAGGCAGCAUGCCGGCUCCACACUGACGCUGAGGCACGAAAGCGUGGGUAUCGAACAGGAUUAGAUACCCUUGUA
rnacentral:rRNA from 1 species